rnacentral:rRNA from 1 species
UACGUAGGGAGCGAGCGUUGUCCGGAAUUACUGGGUGUAAAGGGAGUGCAGGCGGGACUGCAAGUCAGAUGUGAAAUGUAGGGGCUUAACCCCUGAACUGCAUUUGAAACUGUAGUUCUUGAGUGAAGUAGAGGUAAGCGGAAUUCCUAGUGUAGCGGUGAAAUGCGUAGAUAUUAAGAGGAACAUCAGUGGCGAAGGCGGCUUACUGGGCUUUUACUGACGCUGAGUCUCGAAAGCGUGGGGAGCAAAC